rnacentral:rRNA from 1 species
GGGCUGGACCUCUCGGGGUUACAGCCUUGCUGAAUUAUUCACCCUUGUCUUUUGCGUACUUCUUGUUUCCUUGGUGGGUUCGCCCACCACUAGGACAAACAUAAACCUUUUGUAAUUGCAAUCAGCGUCAGUAACAAAUUAAUAAUUACAACUUUCAACAACGGAUCUCUUGGUUCUGGCAUCGAUGAAGAACGCAGCGAAAUGCGAUAAGUAGUGUGAAUUGCAGAAUUCAGUGAAUCAUCGAAUCUUUGAACGCACAUUGCGCCCUUUGGUAUUCCAAAGGGCAUGCCUGUUCGAGCGUCAUUUGUACCCUCAAGCUUUGCUUGGUGUUGGGCGUCUUGUCUCUAGCUUUGCUGGAGACUCGCCUUAAAGUAAUUGGCAGCCGGCCUACUGGUUUCGGAGCGCAGCACAAGUCGCACUCUCUAUCAGCAAAGGUCUAGCAUCCAUUAAGCCUUUUUUUCAACUUUUGACCUCGGAUCAGGUAGGGAUACCCGCUGAACUUAAGCAUAUCAU